rnacentral:rRNA from 1 species
UACGUAGGGCGCAAGCGUUGUCCGGAAUUAUUGGGCGUAAAGAGCUCGUAGGCGGCCUGUCGCGUCCGUCGUGAAAGCCCGGGGCUUAACCUCCGGGUCUGCGGUGGAUACGGGCAGGCUAGAGGCAGGUAGGGGAGAAUGGAAUUCCCGGUGUAGCGGUGAAAUGCGCAGAUAUCGGGAGGAACACCGGUGGCGAAGGCGGUUCUCUGGGCCUGUACUGACGCUGAGGAGCGAAAGCGUGGGGAGCGAACAGG